AGUGAACGCUGGCGGCAGGCCUAACACAUGCAAGUCGAGCGGAGCGGCGGACGGGUGAGUAAUGCCUAGGAAGCUGCCUGGGAGUGAGGGAUCACUUCCAGGAGGGGGAGCUUAUGCCGCAUACUAUCAGGGCACCCUAGGUCGGAUUAGCUAGUUGGUGGGGUAAAGGCCUACCAAGGCGACGAUCCGUAACUGGUCUGAGAGGAUGAUCAGUCACACUGGAACUGAGACACGGUCCAGACUCCUACGGGAGGCAGCAGUGGGGAAUAUUGGACAAUGGGCGAAAGCCUGAUCCAGCCAUGCCGCGUGUGUGAAGAAGGUCUUCGGAUUGUAAAGCACUGUAGGUUGGGAGGCGUUAUCAAAAGAAUAAGCACCGGCUAACUUCGUGCCAGCAGCCGCGGUAAUUC
rnacentral:rRNA from 1 species